GUGCUCACUUCUGCAGCACAUAUACUAAAAUUGGAAGAAUACAGAGACUAGCAUGGCUCCUGUGCAAGGAUGACAUGCAAAUUCGUGAAGUAUUCCACAUUUUU
ensembl:snRNA U6 U6 spliceosomal RNA